rnacentral:rRNA from 1 species
GAUGAACGCUGGCGGCGUGCCUAAUACAUGCAAGUCGAGCGAAUGGAUUAAGAGCUUGCUCUUAUGAAGUUAGCGGCGGACGGGUGAGUAACACGUGGGUAACCUGCCCAUAAGACUGGGAUAACUCCGGGAAACCGGGGCUAAUACCGGAUAACAUUUUGAACCGCAUGGUUCGAAAUUGAAAGGCGGCUUCGGCUGUCACUUAUGGAUGGACCCGGGUCGCAUUAGCGAGUUGGUGAGGUAACGGCUCGCCAAGGCAACGGUGCGUAGCCGACCUGGGAGGGUGAGCGGCCACACUGGGACUGAGACACGGCCCAGACUCCUACGGGAGGCAGCAGUAGGGAAUCUUCCGAAAUGGACGAAAGUCUGACGGAGCAACGCCGCGUGAGUGUUGAAGGCUUUCGGGUCGUAAAACUCUGUUGUUAGGGAAGAACAAGUGCUAGUUGAAUAAGCUGGCACCUUGACGGUACCUAACCAGAAAGCCACGGCUAACUACGUGCCAGCAGCCGCCGCAG